rnacentral:rRNA from 1 species
GCGAUUCGCCCUUCGGGGUGCCCAGGCGCGAAAACUUUGCAAUACACGAAAGUGUGACAGGGUCAUCCCGAGUGCCGACCGCUGAGGUUGGCUUUUACCCAGUCUAGAAAGCUGGGGGAAUAAGGAGAGGGCAAGUCUGGUGUCAGCCGCCGCGGUAAUACCAGCUCUCCGAGUGGUGUGGACGUUUAUUGGGCCUAAAGCAUCCGUAGCUGGCUGAACAAGUCCCCUGUUAAACCCACCGAUUUAAUCGUUGGUCUGCGGGGGAUACUGCUCGGCUAGGGGACGAGAGAGGCAGACGGUAUUCCCGGGGUAGGGGUGAAAUCCUAUAAUCCCGAGAAGACCACCAAUGGCGAAGGCUGUCUGCUAGAACGCGCCCGACGGUGAGGGAUGAAAGCUGGGGGAGCGAACCGGAUUAGAUACCCGGGUAGUCCCAGCUGUAAACGAUGCAGACUAGGUGUUUGGACGGCCACGUGCCGUUCUAGUGCCGCAGGGAAGCUGUUAAGUCUGCCGCCUGGGGAGUACGAUCGCAAGAUUGAAACUUAAAGGAAUUGGCGGGGGAGCAC